CAGAAGAAAAGUGAUAUUCCUGCCAUCCAAAUUCUGAGGGAUGCAUCUACCAUAACUUUGAGACCUUAAGAAAAAGUAAAGAAGCUCUUUUAACAGCUCUUUUUGUGAACUCUGCAACCUGAGUCAAUUGUACAAAAAACAGCAACUUCUUGGAUACAGAAGAUCCUGCAACUCCAGGACACUUGAACAUUUCCUACGAGACACUUGACAUUGAAUUUAAGGCCUACCGGAUAACCCAGGAUAAUCUCCCCUCUCAAGAUCCUUAAAUGAAUUCAACCUGACAAUACUCAUCUAUCCAAUAAGGUUUAAAUGUGAUUCCUAACAAAAGCUUUGGGGAAACUUGAAGGAUAGGAAGACGCUUCUUUGAAAACCAUGAAAAGUGCCCUCACCAGACAUUGGAUCUACUGGCACCUUGAUCUUGGACUUCCCAGUCUCCAAAACUGCUUCAUGCCCAGUGUGAAGCCCACUGAGGGGCCUGAACCCAUGACCCCAAGACCAAGACCCAAGAUGGGAUUAAGAGUCAGAAGCUCAAC